rnacentral:lncRNA from 1 species
UUUGUAUAAAAUCACUGGAAUUGGAUAAGAUCUUUUGGAAGACCUACACUUUUGGCAUCUCUCCCUUCCUGUUCUUGCUGCUUCCUGUGGGCUCUUUAUUCUUAGAAUUGGGGAAGUCUGUGGACAUCGGAUGACGAUGGAAAGACUUUCAAAGAAUAAUGCUGUCUAUAUACUGGCAAUGAGAAGGAACUCAUUAAAAGCAAAUUUAAUGUGACAAUAUCCAAGGAGGACACUAUAUAUGUCUUUUCACUUUGGGCAGGCAUAAACUUAGUCAUUCCCAACAAUUAAUACUACUGAGUCCUAAUGAAGAGGAUUAUAAAAUGUUCCCUUACUUGUGACCACUUCAAAUCAGAAGGCAGUAAAAACAUCCAAACAUUCCAAGCAAAUAACAGGCUAAAUAAAGAUGCUAUUAACAAUACUACAACUAUAGUUAAUAACAUACUGCAUGCUUGAAAAUCACUAAAAGAGUAGAAUUGAAGUGUUCUCACCACAAAAAAGUAAGUAUACGAGCUAACACAUAUGUUAAUUAGCUAGGUUUAGCCAUUCCACA